CCUACGGGUGGCAGCAGUGAGGAAUAUUGGUCAAUGGGCGAGAUCCUGAACCAGCCAAGUCGCGUGAGGGAAGACGGCCCUAUGGGUUGUAAACCUCUUUUGUCGGGGAACAAAACCCGGCACGUGUCCCGGUCUGCGUGUAUCCGAAGAAAAAGCAUCGGCUAACUCCGUGCCAGCAGCCGCGGUAAUACGGAGGAUGCGAGCGUUAUCCGGAUUUAUUGGGUUUAAAGGGUUCGUAGGCGGACGGUUAAGUCAGCGGUAAAAUUGCGGGGCUCAACCCCGUCGAGCCGUUGAACCUGGGUGACUUGAGUUGGCGAGAAGUACGCGGAAUGCGCGGUGUAGCGGUGAAAUGCAUAGAUAUCACGCAGAACUCCGAUUGCGAAGGCAGCGUACCGGCGCCCGACUGACGCUGAGGCACGAAAGCGUGGGGAUCGAACAGGAUUAGAUACCCGGGUAGUC
rnacentral:rRNA from 1 species